AGGGAAUAUUGGUCAAUGGGCGGAAGCCUGAACCAGCCAUGCCGCGUGCAGGAUGACAGCUUUCUGAGUUGUAAACUGCUUUUAUAUAGGAACAAAUGGCCAUGCGUGGCAAGUUGCGUGUACUAUAUGAAUA
rnacentral:rRNA from 1 species